rnacentral:tRNA from 1 species
UGGCGGAGUAGCUCAGUAGGUUAGAGCAGAGGAAUCAUAAUCCUUGUGUCGGGGGUUCAAAUCCCUCCUCCGCUACCAU